GAUGAACGCUGGCGGCGUGCUUAACACAUGCAAGUCGAACGGUGAUGCAGGAGCUUGCUCUUGUGGAUCAGUGGCGAACGGGUGAGUAACACGUGAGCAACCCGCCCCUGACUCUGGGAUAAGCGCUGGAAACGGCGUCUAAUACUGGAUAUGUGAUGUGACCGCAUGGUCUGCAUCUGGAAAGAAUUUCGGUUGGGGAUGGGCUCGCGGCCUAUCAGCUUGUUGGUGAGGUAAUGGCUCACCAAGGCGUCGACGGGUAGCCGGCCUGAGAGGGUGACCGGCCACACUGGGACUGAGACACGGCCCAGACUCCUACGGGAGGCAGCAGUGGGCAAUAUUGCACAAUGGGCGGAAGCCUGAUGCAGCAACGCCGCGUGAGGGAUGACGGCCUUCGGGUUGUAAACCUCUUUUAGCAGGGAAGAAGCGAAAGUGACGGUACCUGCAGAAAAAGCACCGGCUAACUACGUGCCAGCCGCCGCCGUAA
rnacentral:rRNA from 1 species